rnacentral:rRNA from 1 species
AUGCGAACCUGCGAGGGGGAGCGAACCCCAGAAAAGCUGUCCCAGUUCGGAUUGUAGUCUGCAACCCGACUACAUGAAGCUGGAAUCGCUAGUAAUCGCGAAUCAGAAUGUCGCGGUGAAUACGUUCCCGGGUCUUGUACACACCGCCCGUCACACCAUGGGAGCCGGAAAUGCCCGAAGUCAGUGGCCCAACCGCAAGGAGGGAGCUGCCGAAGGUGGAGCUGGUGACUGGGGUGAAGUCGUAACAAGGUAAC